UUCCGGUUGAUCCUGCCGGACCCCACUGCUAUCGAGGUGGGACUAAGCCAUGCUAGUUGAACGACCCGGACUAUGGCGGGAAGUGGCAGACUGCUCAGUAACACGUAGCUAACCUACCCUUGGGACGGGUACAACCCCGGGAAACUGAGGAUAAACCCCGAUAGAUCAUUAUGCCUGGAACGGUUUAUGGUCCAAAUGAUUCGUCGCCGUAGGAUGAGACUGCGGCCUAUCAGCUUGUUGGUGAGGUAAUGGCCCACCAAGGCUAUUACAGGUACGGGCUCUGAGAGGAGAAGCCCGGAGAUGGGUACUGAGACACGGACCCAGGCCCUAUGGGGCGCAGCAGGCGAGAAACCUUUGCAAUGUGCGCAAGCACGACAAGGUUAAUCCGAGUGAUUCCUGCUAAAGGAAUCUUUUGUUAGUCUUAAAAUCACUAUUGAAUAAGGGGUGGGCAAGUUCUGGUGUCAGCCGCCGCGGUAAAACCAGCACCUCAAGUGGUCAGGAGGAUUAUUGGGCCUAAAGCAUCCGUAGCCUGCUCUGUAAGUUUCCGGUUAAAUCCAUUAGCUCAACUAAUGGCCUGCCGGAAAUACUGCAGAGCUAGGAAGUGGGAGAGGUAGACGGUACUCGGUAGGAAGGGGUAAAAUCCUUUGAUCUAUUGAUGACCACCUGUGGCGAAGGCGGUCUACCAGAACACGUUCGACGGUGAGGGAUGAAAGCUGGGGGAGCAAACCGGAUUAGAUACCCGGGUAGUCCCAGCUGUAAACGAUGCAGACUCGGUGAUGCCCUGGCUUGUGACCAGUGCAGUGCCGCAGGGAAGCCGUUAAGUUUGCCGCCUGGGAAGUACGUACGCAAGUAUGAAACUUAAAGGAAUUGGCGGGGAGCACCACAAGGGUGAAGCCUGCGGUUCAAUUGGAGUCAACGCCGGG
rnacentral:rRNA from 1 species